rnacentral:piRNA from 1 species
AUUCCUGAACACUGUACUGCAAGUGGAUAGGA